CAGCAUCGAUCAUAGUGCUAUAUCUCGCAGAUAUAAUAAGGAGGCAUGGGAUAUGAAGGAAUGGUGUAUGACCACUCAGGAGGAGGCUGUGGUUUAGGCUCUUCUUUCUUUUCUUUUUCCUCCUUUACAUCGCUUAAGCUUACAAGCUCUGCAUACACCAUAGUGUUUGGUAACAAACAAGUUAAGAAAGGCCAUUUCGCUAACCUCUUCCUUAAUGAAGUCGUCACUUUCACUGGAUCUAUUCCUUCUCCUAUCACCUCUAGCUCGUUCUUAUCUUUCUCCCCUACAGCCGCGGAUUGCACUCCAUAAAUGCCGACUACAAUUCGCAGGGC
rnacentral:misc_RNA from 1 species